AGUUUGAUCCUGGCUCAGAACGAACGCUGGCGGCAUGCCUAACACAUGCAAGUCGAACGAGACCUUCGGGUCUAGUGGCGCACGGGUGCGUAACGCGUGGGAAUCUGCCCUUGGUUCGGAAUAACAGCGAGAAAUUGCUGCUAAUACCGGAUGAUGACGUAAGUCCAAAGAUUUAUCGCCCAAGGAUGAGCCCGCGUAGGAUUAGCUAGUUGGUGAGGUAAAGGCUCACCAAGGCGACGAUCCUUAGCUGGUCUGAGAGGAUGAUCAGCCACACUGGGACUGAGACACGGCCCAGACUCCUACGGGAGGCAGCAGUGGGGAAUAUUGGACAAUGGGCGAAAGCCUGAUCCAGCAAUGCCGCGUGAGUGAUGAAGGCCUUAGGGUUGUAAAGCUCUUUUACCCGGGAUGAUAAUGACAGUACCGGGAGAAUAAGCCCCGGCUAACUCCGUG
rnacentral:rRNA from 1 species